ensembl:lncRNA
CCAACAGCCACCACUGCUCUUUGCAAUCCUACUAUGACUGAAGAUCACAAGACGGGAGGAGACAUUCACUGUUUCAUACUGAAAGAUGGUUUUAUCCCUGUCUAGAGGAUGGAAAAUACAUGACAGAAUGGACUUCAGAAGUAACAGAGGAAGUCCUUGCUUCUAGAGCUGUCACUGAAGGCAGCAUAUGGCUCUCCUGCAGUCGGGGAAGGAUCUCACAGUGUGACCUAGCUAGCCUCCACACCUCUGAUUCCUGUUACCCCUGCACAGAGGUUACCACUUUCAGCUAGGAGGCUCUGUGCAGCGCCCAUUCCCCGGAGUGCUUAUCUGGCUCAGGAUCAAGGGAAGAAAUCUACUAACUCCUCAAACAGCACUUCCUCCCUUCCCAUCAUCUAGGAAGGCCAUUUCAUUGUGGGCAUAGACUUCCCAAUAAGCUAGUUUUGCUGUGCUUGUGAGUUCAAAGAUCUUUCAGUGAGCAGAAGCACAAACUCAUUUUUACCAUGUUUCUCUUGUCUUCAUCCAAAUCCCCUCUGGACUGAAUGGCAGUUUGGCAGAUGCAGGACAGUAGAUCAAUCAUUUUCAAUAGAUGUUCAGUGGACAGGUCAGGCUGUGUGGACCAGGUUGUGCUCCCAGCUUUUCUUUCACACCUUCACUUUUCAGCCGGCUUUUGCAAAAAUGUCCUUCUGCAGGUGAAUCCAGGGCUAACUGGGAUGCAGGAUGCCUGGUGAGAGUGGGUCUCAUCAAGACAGAAGCAAAAUAAAACUUAGGGGAACAUGGUGACUGCAGUUAUGUGGUAGCUGUUGUAAGACAUGAUACGAUUUUGGUUCCUAUUGCAAAUGCCCACUUUCAGAGGUUGAACUUUGGCAUUAGUGGCAUAUUUCCAGGAGUGUUUGCAG